rnacentral:rRNA from 1 species
UCGAACGAGGGUCUCCCUCGGGGGGCCUUAGUGGCGCACGGGUGAGUAACCGUGGGAACCUGCCCUUCGGUUCGGAAUAAGGUGAGUAACCGUGGGAACCUGCCCUUCGGUUCGGAAUAAGGAAAGUUUACGCCGAGAGAGGGGCCCGCGUCGGAUUAUCGGUAGUUGGUGGGUAAUGGCCCACCAAGCCCGAUCCGCCUACCAGGCGACGAUCCACUGGUCUGAGAGGAUGAUCAGCACACUGGACUGAGACACGGCCCAGACUCCUACGGGAGGCUAGCUGGUCUGAGAGGAUGAUAGCCACACUGGGACUGAGCAGCCAUGCCGCGUGAGUGAUGAAGGCCCUAGGGUUGUAAAGCUCUUUCACCGGAGAGAUAAUGACGGUAUCCGGAGAAGAGCAGUGGGAAUAUUGGACAAUGGGCGCAAGCCUGAUCCAGCAAUGCCGCUGAGUGAUGAAGGCCUUAGCGGGAGCGUGAGAAGAAGCCCCGGCUAAGGUUGUAAAGCCUCUUUCGCAC